rnacentral:lncRNA from 12 species
GUUUAUUUAAACCCAUCAGAGAAAUGGACAGCUUGGGUCUGUAACAAAGCGUUGUGUUUUAAAGCAUAGGUCAGUAAUUGUAUAUGAGAGUAUACACUGCUACAUACAAAUUAACUGAUCAGAGCACAACUUUUCAAUGUUCAAAACAGAAUAAGCUUCCCUGUAAAAACAGCACCUUUAUGACAUUUUUGACUUUAGUAUUCCUCUUCUUCUUCUUCACCCUCUCCUUCAACAGAAUCCACACCAACCUCUUCAUAAUCCUUCUCCAGGGCAGCCAUGUCCUCACAGGCCUCAGAAAACUCUCCUUCCUCCAUGCUCUCACCCACAUACCAGUGAACAAAGGCACGCUUGGCAUAUAUCAGAUCAAACUUGUGGUCCAGGCGAGCCCAGGCCUCAGCAAUGGCUGUGGUGUUGCUCAACAUGCACACAGCUCGCUGUACUUUGGCCAGGUCUCCAUCGGGUACCACAGUGGGAGGAAAGUAAUUAAUGCCUACUUUGAAGCCAGUGGGGCUCCAGUCCACAAACUGGGUGGUACGCUUGAUCUUAAUGGUAGCAAUGGCAGCAUUGACAUCUUUGGGAACCACGUCACCACGGUACAACAGACAGCAAGCCACGUAUUUACCAUGGCGAGGGUCACAUUUCACCAUCUGGUUGGCUGGCUCAAAGCAUGCAUUGGUGAUCUCUGCUACAGAAAGCUGUUCAUGGUAGGCUUUCUCAGCAGAGACGACAGGGGCAUAUGUGGCCAGAGGGAAGUGAAUGCGGGGAUAGGGCACCAGUUGGUCUGGAACUCCGUCAGAUCCACAUUCAGGGCUCCAUCAAAUCUGAGGGAAGCAGUGAUGGAAGACACAAUUUGACCUAUCAACCUGUUUAAAUUAGUGUAGGUUGGGGGCUCAAUAUCGAGGUUUCUACGACAGAUGUCAUAGAUGGCCUCGUUGUCUACCAUGAAGGCACAAUCAGAGUGCUCCAGGGUGGUGUGGGUGGUGAGGAUGGAGUUGUAGGGCUCUACUACAGCUGUGGACACCUUGGGGGCAGGGUAGAUGGAGAACUCUAGCUUGGACUUUUUGCCAUAAUCGACAGAGAGACGUUCCAUCAGCAGGGAGGUGAAGCCAGAACCGGUUCCCCCUCCAAAGCUGUGGAAAAACCAAGAAGCCCUGAAGACCCGUGCACUGGUCAGCCAGUUUCCAAAUUCGGUCCAAGACAAGGUCAAUGAUCUCCUUGCCAAUGGUGUAGUGCCCUCGGACAUAGUUAUUGGCAGCAUCUUCCUUGCCUGUGAUGAGCUGCUCAGGGUGGAAGAGCUGGCAGUAUGUGCCAGUGCGAACUUCAUCAAUGACUGUGGGCUUCAGGUCUACAAACACUGCUCUGGGCGUAUGCUUGCCAGCGCCGGUCUCACUGAAGAAGGUGUUGAAGGAGUCAUCUCCUCCCCCAGUGGUCUUGUCACUUGGCAUCUGGCCAUCGGGCUGAAUGCCGUGUUCCAGGCAGUAGAACUCCAGCUGGCAUUGCCGAUCGGACACCUGCCUGGCCAACGUGGAUCGAGAUACUCUCACGCAUGGUUGCUGCUUGGCGGCUGCCGGGUGGGUGGCGGAGAAGAGGAGAGGUUGUUGCUUCUUACAGCGUGACUCUUAGGCAGUUGAUGUAAGAGAACCUGCCCAGUCAAUGGACUUUUGAAUUGGGUCUAUGUUUCAGCUAUUAUGAGAAGUGCUGCCAAGAAUAUUUGUAUGUAAGUUUUCAUGAGACCAUGUUUCAGUUCUCUCAGGUAUAUAACUAGAAAUGGAAUCAUUGUGUCAUAUGGUAACUCUCUAUGUUUUUUUCUCUAUGUUUUCCUCUCAAUUUUGAGGAAAUUGCAAACUAUUUUCC